ACCAGGGUGGUAUAGUGGUUUGAGUAUUAGACUAGGAUUCUGGAGACCAGGGCUCAAAUCCUGGCUCUGCCA